AGUUUAACAAAACUAACAGCUCUUUCAAGAUUAUGUGGUAGGUGGUGCAUGGCCGUUCUUAGUUCGUGAAGUGAUUCGUUCGCCCAAUCGCAUUUCCAAACAACUAACAACUCAGAAUGCUGGGCAAUAGGACGUUUAAAGUGGCUCCUUACACCUUACAAAGGAAUGGCUGAUGAGAAACAACUCGAUCCGCUCAGCGUUCUAUUGGAAUGCAACGGACGUGAUUGCAAGCUUUUGUUUUGAGUUGCGG
rnacentral:rRNA from 1 species